UGCUAGUCGAACGGUAGCACAGAGAGCUUGCUCUCGGGUGACGAGUGGCGGACGGGUGAGUAAUGUCUGGGAAACUGCCUGAUGGAGGGGGAUAACUACUGGAAACGGUAGCUAAUACCGCAUAACGUCGCAAGACCAAAGAGGGGGACCUUCGGGCCUCUUGCCAUCAGAUGUGCCCAGAUGGGAUUAGCUAGUAGGUGGGGUAACGGCUCACCUAGGCGACGAUCCCUAGCUGGUCUGAGAGGAUGACCAGCCACACUGGAACUGAGACACGGUCCAGACUCCUACGGGAGGCAGCAGUGGGGAAUAUUGCACAAUGGGCGCAAGCCUGAUGCAGCCAUGCCGCGUGUAUGAAGAAGGCCUUCGGGUUGUAAAGUACUUUCAGCGGGGAGGAAGGUGUUGUGGUUAAUAACCGCAGCAAUUGACGUUACCCGCAGAAGAAGCACCGGCUAACUCCGUGCCAGCAGCCGCGGUAAUACGGAGGGUGCAAGCGUUAAUCGGAAUUACUGGGCGUAAAGCGCACGCAGGCGGUCUGUCAAGUCGGAUGUGAAAUCCCCGGGCUCAACCUGGGAACUGCAUUCGAAACUGGCAGGCUAGAGUCUUGUAGAGGGGGGUAGAAUUCCAGGUGUAGCGGUGAAAUGCGUAGAGAUCUGGAGGAAUACCGGUGGCGAAGGCGGCCCCCUGGACAAAGACUGACGCUCAGGUGCGAAAGCGUGGGGGAGCAAACAGGAUUAGAUACCCCUG
rnacentral:rRNA from 1 species